CGCGUGGAUAAUCUACCGGGGAGUGGGGAAUAACAGUUGGAAACGGCUGCUAAUACCGCAUACGCUGCAUAUAUGUCUAUGCAGGAAAGGGGGCCUCUGCAUAUGCUUCUGCUUUUCGAUGAGUCCGCGUCCCAUUAGCUUGUUGGCGGGGUAACGGCCCACCAAGGCGACGAUGGGUAGCUGGUCUGAGAGGAUGACCAGCCACACUGGGACUGGAACACGGCCCAGACUCCUACGGGAGGCAGCAGUGGGGAAUAUUGCGCAAUGGGCGAAAGCCUGACGCAGCGACGCCGCGUGAGGGAUGAAGGUUUUCGGAUCGUAAACCUCUGUCAGAAGGGAAGAAGUUGCAUGGGGCCAAUCACCUGUGCAUUGACGGUACCUUCAAAGGAAGCACCGGCUAACUCCGUGCCAGCAGCCGCGGUAAUACGGAGGGUGCGAGCGUUAAUCGGAAUUACUGGGCGUAAAGCGCACGUAGGCUGUAUGUCAAGUCAAGGGUGAA
rnacentral:rRNA from 1 species